rnacentral:rRNA from 1 species
AGUCGAGCGGCAGCGGAAAGUAGCUUGCUACUUUGCCGGCGAGCGGCGGACGGGUGAGUAAUGUCUGGGAAACUGCCUGAUGGAGGGGGAUAACUACUGGAAACGGUAGCUAAUACCGCAUGACCUCGAAAGAGCAAAGUGGGGGAUCUUCGGACCUCACGCCAUCGGAUGUGCCCAGAUGGGAUUAGCUAGUAGGUGAGGUAAUGGCUCACCUAGGCGACGAUCCCUAGCUGGUCUGAGAGGAUGACCAGCCACACUGGAACUGAGACACGGUCCAGACUCCUACGGGAGGCAGCAGUGGGGAAUAUUGCACAAUGGGCGCAAGCCUGAUGCAGCCAUGCCGCGUGUGUGAAGAAGGCCUUAGGGUUGUAAAGCACUUUCAGCGAGGAGGAAGGCAUCACACUUAAUACGUGUGGUGAUUGACGUUACUCGCAGAAGAAGCACCGGCUAACUCCGUGCCAGCAGCCGCGGUAAUACGGAGGGUGCAAGCGUUAAUCGGAAUUACUGGGCGUAAAGCGCACGCAGGCGGUUUGUUAAGUCAGAUGUGAAAUCCCCGCGCUAAACGUGGGAACUGCAUUUGAAACUGGCAAGCUAGAGUCUUGUAGAGGGGGGUAGAAUUCCAGGUGUAGCGGUGAAAUGCGU